GUUCUUGUAGUUGAAUAAAAACGGUGGUUUUUCAUAUCAUUAGUCCUGGUUAAAAUCCGGGCAGGAAUU
rnacentral:tRNA from 1 species